GGCUGUGGGUAAUUUCACUUUACCUAAAACCCUAAUCCAACAAAGAAAGAGAAAAUAAUUUGAAGAACAAUCAGAAAAUCUGAAGGAAUUCAUGGAAAGAAAUCUCCUCGCUUUGAAUGUCAUGUGGAAGUACAUGGAGCAGGCAAUCAGAGGCAAUAAACACUGGGGGACUACCAUAUUCACCAUGAUCAUCACCAGGACUGCAGCAGUAUUGACAUCAUCUUUGCCUACCUGAAUCCCACUGAACAUCAUGUACAUUUUUGUUGGAAACAAAUAUAUCACAAUGACCCUUAUUCAUACUGUUGCCUUUGUCAGCAAUGACCACCACGAUCUGAUGUCAGAAAUGACCAUUCUGCUUGAAUCUUACUGAAUAGUUCUAGUACCUUCAAAAAGUGUCCUUUGGUUGUGUUGAGGGGACUAUAAGGAAGAUCGGUCUCAGUCUCUCUCUCUUGCAUGGGUGUGGAGGCAUGUCUGCUCGCUUUAGUACUCAAAGAGAUGACAGAUAGGCUGAGAUGUAGCUCAUUGUGGGUGCCACUUUUUACUAGCUGAUCACCAGUAUGGUUGCCACUUACCUAUAGUUUUUAAGUUUAUGUUUCUUAGUGAAUGCAAUCGUUUUAUUUGUUUUCUUCUUGUUGCCAAAUUAGUGAAUGAUGUGAACUUGUUAAUGAUUAGUAGUUUGGUAUUGUAAUAUCAUCAUAUUGUUGUCUGACUACAGAGAAUC